UACGGGGGGGGCAAGCGUUGUUCGGAAUUACUGGGCGUAAAGGGCGCGUAGGCGGUGCUCUAAGUCGGAUGUGAAAACUCUGGGCUCAACCCAGAGCCUGCAUCCGAAACUGGAGUGCUAGAGUUCUGGAGGGGGUAGCGGAAUUCCUGGUGUAGCGGUGAAAUGCGCAGAUAUCGGGAGGAACACCAAUGGCGAAGGCAGCUCGCUGGGACGUUACUGACGCUGAGACGCGAAAGCGUGGGGAGCAAACAGGG
rnacentral:rRNA from 1 species